rnacentral:misc_RNA from 1 species
GAUGAAGAACGUAGCGAAAUGCGAUAAGUAAUGCGAAUUGCAGAAUUCCAGUGAGUCAUCGAAUCUUUGAACGCACAUUGCGCCCUUUGGUAUUCCGAAGGGCAUGCCUGUUCGAGCGUCAUUAUAACCCCUCAAGCUCAGCUUGGUGUUGGGGCCUGCCGCACGGGCAGCCCUUAAAAUCAGUGGCGGUGCCAUCUGGCUCUAAGCGUAGUAAUUCUUCUCGCUAUAGAGUCCCGGUGGAUGCUUGCCAUUAACCCCCAAUUUUCUAUGGUUGACCUCGGAUCAGGUAGGGAUACCCGCUGAACUUAAGCAUAUCAAUAAGCGGAGGA